AGCUCCAAUAGCGUAUAUUAAAGUUGCUGCAGUUAAAAAGCUCGUAGUUGCAUUUCCGAGGCAAGGGAUUAGUCCGACCUUUGGUGGGUAUUUAAUCCUCUUGCCUCGUCCUUGAGUGGUGCUUCUUGGUAUUAAGUUAUCGAGGAGAUAGCCGCUCAUCGUUUACUGUGAGAAAAUUAGAGUGUUCAAAGCAGGCUUAUGCCGUUGAAUAUAUUAGCAUGGAAUAAUAAGAUAGGACCUCGGUACUAUUUUGUUGUUUUGAGAACCAAGGUAAUGAUGAAUAGGGACAGUUGGGGGUAUUCGUAUUCAGUUGUCAGAGGUGAAAUUCUUAGAUUUACUGAAGACGAACUACUGCGAAAGCAUUUACCAAGGAUGUUUUCA
rnacentral:rRNA from 1 species